CCUUUGGACAAGGAGAACAUUUCCCAGCAGAAGUACAUUUUGGAGCUGGCAGAUGCAUUGCUAUAUCGUCAUGCAAAGAAGGUCAUUCAUCGGGACAUUAAACCAGAGAAUCUGAUGAGCGGCCUUCAUGGGGAGCUGCAGAUAGGUGACUUUGGAUGGUCUGUCCAUUCUCCCUCAUCCAGCUUCCUUCUAAUCCCUUGCGAUCUUGUUUUCCAAAGACUGUUCUUCCCACUUGUGAAAUGGUGAGUAUGGCCACUUCAGUCCCAUUACUGAUUGAGUCGUAUGUAGCGGCACCCAGUGGUUAAGCUAUGUUAUGCAGAACCCUCGGGACUGUCAAGUGACAGGGUUUUUUCAUCGGGUUUCGAGUUAGGAGGUGUUUUCAGUUAGCUAGUGCUCUUUGCAAUGACAACAACUUCAAACCGUU